GAACGAAAGAGCAGACGAACCUUCCACUAGUAAAGGCAAGGGCAAGCUUAGCAAGUAAUGAAGAUUGAAUAUUUAUGUGGUUAUGUAAUGAUAAUUAGGAUUGAUGUUACUUAAGACUUAUUUGUUUAUGUUUUCGCACAGAUGAUUUAAGGUUAGAGUAACCUGGGAUUUAUUUUUUUUGUAGUUAAUGUAACCCCAUAAGGGGAG
rnacentral:lncRNA from 1 species